rnacentral:rRNA from 1 species
AGUGAACGCUGGCGGUAGGCCUAACACAUGCAAGUCGAACGGCAGCACAGUAAGAGCUUGCUCUUACGGGUGGCGAGUGGCGGACGGGUGAGGAAUACAUCGGAAUCUACUUUUUCGUGGGGGAUAACGUAGGGAAACUUACGCUAAUACCGCAUACGACCUACGGGUGAAAGCAGGGGAUCUUCGGACCUUGCGCGAUUGAAUGAGCCGAUGUCGGAUUAGCUAGUUGGCGGGGUAAAGGCCCACCAAGGCGACGAUCCGUAGCUGGUCUGAGAGGAUGAUCAGCCACACUGGAACUGAGACACGGUCCAGACUCCUACGGGAGGCAGCAGUGGGGAAUAUUGGACAAUGGGCGCAAGCCUGAUACAGCCAUACCGCGUGGUGAAGAAGGCCUUCGGGUUGUAAAGCCCUUUGUUGGGAAAGAAAAGCAGCAGGUUAAUACCCCGCUGUUCUGACGGUACCCAAAGAAUAAGCACCGGCUAACUUCGUG